rnacentral:rRNA from 1 species
UACGGAGGGUGCAAGCGUUAUCCGGAUUUAUUGGGUUUAAAGGGUCCGUAGGCGGAUCUGUAAGUCAGUGGUGAAAUCUCAUAGCUUAACUAUGAAACUGCCAUUGAUACUGCAGGUCUUGAGUAAGGUAGAAGUAGCUGGAAUAAGUAGUGUAGCGGUGAAAUGCAUAGAUAUUACUUAGAACACCAAUUGCGAAGGCAGGUUACUAUGUCUUAACUGACGCUGAUGGACGAAAAGCGUGGGGAGCGAACAGG